GUUUGACCUAUAACUUAAUUCUCAAUCAAGUUAGCUUAUAUAUUCAAAUAAGUCAAGUACUUUCAAAUUAGAUAUAUAAACAUAGAUCAAUACUUUUCUACAGUAUCUGACUUGUGUAUAUGACUCCAUAGAUUCAAACACUAAGUCGGUAGCACAAGAACCGAUUUCUGUACUAAUCGAGAUACCACCUAGUCAUGAUUCUCAAC
rnacentral:lncRNA from 1 species